rnacentral:rRNA from 1 species
UGGGGAAUAUUGGACAAUGGGGGAAACCCUGAUCCAGCAAUGCCGCGUGAGUGAAGAAGGCCUUCGGGUUGUAAAGCUCUUUUACCAAGGAAGAUAAUGACGGUACUUGGGGAAUAAGCCCCGGCUAACUUCGUGCCAGCAGCCGCGGUAAUACGAAGGGGGCUAGCGUUGUUCGGAAUUACUGGGCGUAAAGGGCGCGUAGGCGGCGAGGUACGUCUGAUGUGAAAGACCUGGGCUUAACCUGGGAAGUGCAUUGGAUACGGCUUUGCUAGAGGGCGAGAGAGGAUUGUGGAAUUGUGCGUGUAGAGGUGGAAUUCGUAGAUAUGCACAAGAACACCGAAGGCGAAGGCAGCAAUCUGGCUCGCAACUGACGCUGAGGCGCGAAAGCGUGGGGAGCAAA